GGUCUAAUAGCUGUCCCGCGGCGAAAAUGUACCGGGGCUCAAGCCAUCUGCCGAAGCUGUGGAUGCACUAGCGAUAGUGCGUGGUAGCGGAGCGUUCCGUAGGCCUGUGAAGGCGGACCCGCGAGGGCCGCUGGAGGUAUCGGAAGUGCGAAUGCGGACAUGAGUAGCGACAAGGAGAGUGAGAAACUCUCCCGCCGAAAGUCCAAGGGUUCCUGCGCAAGGCUAAUCCGCGCAGGGUGAGCCGGCCCCUAAGGCGAGGGCGAGAGCCGUAGCCGAUGGGAACCAGGUGAACAUUCCUGGGCCCGCCAGACGUGACAGCCGUGAAGUCCCGUGCGCCCUUAUCGGAUUGGGCGCGCGGUUGGAUCGGCUCGGGAAACAGCGCUGGCGACAAGGACCGUACCCGAAACCGACACAGGUGGACUGGUAGAGCAUACCAAGGCGCUUGAGAGAACUAUGCUGAAGGAACUAGGCAAAUUGCUCGCGUAACUUCGGGAUAAGCGAGACCCAUGCUUGCGCAAGCAGGUGUGGGUGGCACAGACCAGGGGGUGGCGACUGUUUAGUAAAAACACAGGGCUCUGCGAAGCCGCGAGGCGACGUAUAGGGCCUGACGCCUGCCCGGUGCCGGAAGGUCAAGGGGAGGGGUGCGAGCCCCGAACCGAAGCCCCGGUAAACGGCGGCCGUAACUAUAACGGUCCUAAGGUAGCGAAAUUCCUUGUCGGGUAAGUUCCGACCUGCACGAAUGGCGUAACGACCUCCCCGCUGUCUCCAGCAUCGACUCAGCGAAAUUGAAUUCCCCGUGAAGAUGCGGGGUACCCGCGGUCAGACGGAAAGACCCUAUGAACCUUUACUGCAGCUUGGCAGUGGCGCCAGGAAGGGGCUGUGUAGGAUAGGUGGGAGGCUUUGAAGCCGGGGCGCCAGCUCCGGUGGAGCCACCCUUGAAAUACCACCCUGCCGCUUUCUGGCGUCUAACCGGGCCCUGUAAGCCAGGGCCGGAACCCUGCCUGGUGGGCAGUUUGACUGGGGCGGUCGCCUCCCAAAUGGUAACGGAGGCGCGCGAUGGUGGGCUCAGGCCGGUCGGACAUCGGCCCCGCGAGUGCAAAGGCACAAGCCCGCCUGACUGCGAGCGCGACGGCGCGAGCAGAGACGAAAGUCGGCCUUAGUGAUCCGGUGGCCCCGCGUGGGAGGGCCAUCGCUCAACGGAUAAAAGGUACUCUAGGGAUAACAGGCUGAUCUCCCCCAAGAGUCCACAUCGACGGGGAGGUUUGGCACCUCGAUGUCGGCUCAUCGCAUCCCGGGGCUGGAGCAGGUCCCAAGGGUUCGGCUGUUCGCCGAUUAAAGCGGUACGUGAGCUGGGUUUAGAACGUCGUGAGACAGUUCGGUCCCUAUCUGCCGUGGGUGCAGGAGACUUGCGAGGCGCCGUCCCCAGUACGAGAGGACCGGGACGGACGCGCCUCUGGUGCACCGGUUGUGGCGCCAGCCGCACCGCCGGGUAGCCAAGCGCGGACGGGAUAACCGCUGAAGGCAUCUAAGCGGGAAACCCCCCUCCAGACGAGGUCUCCCCAUCAGGGCCGUGCCAGACCAGCACGUCGAUAGGCCGCAGGUGGAAGUCGGGCGACCGACGCAGCCGAGCGGUCCUAAUUGCCCGACAGAGCUCGGAUC
rnacentral:rRNA from 1 species